rnacentral:misc_RNA from 1 species
GAAAUGCGAUAAGUAAUGUGAAUUGCAGAAUUCAGUGAAUCAUCGAAUCUUUGAACGCACCUUGCGCUCCUUGGUAUUCCUUGGAGCAUGCCUGUUUGAGUAUCAUGAAAUCUUCAAAGUAAAUCUUUUGUUAACUCAAUUGGUUUCUACUUUGGUAUUGGAGGUCUUUGCAGCUUCACACCUGCUCCUCUUUGUUCAUUAGCUGGAUGUCAGUGUUAUGCUUGGUUCCACUCGGCGUGAUAAGUUAUCUAUCGCUGAGGACACUGUAAAAGGUGGCCAAGGUAAAUGCAGAUGAACCGCUUCUAAUAGUCCAUUGACUUGGACAAUACUUUUAUGAUCUGAUCUCAAAUCAGGUAGGACUACCCGCUGAACUUAAGC